GACGCAAAUCCAAGAGUGGAAGCUCAAUCAAUACCAAAAGACGUGACCAACAAUCCUCUGGGGUCACUUAAGUAGGUAACUAAAUAUUAAGUACAGAGUAAAUCCAUCGAUAUCACGACGCACAUGUAGAAUUCAUCCUUCCACCACUCGUGUAAGCAGAGCAGAGCCAGGCCAUAGAAUGAUGAUGUUGAGGCGGCGAUACUGAAGAACUGAAUGCUUUUCUACAAGCCUUUGUCACUGAUCCGAGGACAGUUAACCUCACAGUCGCUCUGCAAUCCUGCAAGGUAGCAACUUAAGUGCCAGCUGCAUAUGAAGAUCUUCUCUCGCCUCUUAUACUUGUAGUGUCGGCUACAGAUGCCAUUUGUUAAGUGAGGGCUCGUGAGAUGGCUACAAAGAGAGGAAACUGAAAAGAAGAAGAUGGAGAAAGAGGGAUAGUUAUGCGUCGUUUCCGGGCCGCAGUAGGAGCAGCUGUUUCCAGAGAAGAAUCUCUAAAUCCCUCUGUACCUGCCACGUUUAAAAACAGCAGACAGACAAAGGAAGAUACCAACUGGUGAAGAGCAAGUCAGCAGAAAAGCUAUAGUUGCUCAUUCCAGUCACACACGCUCUCUGUAAUCCCAGUGAGCACAAACAAUCAGCAAAGCCGUGCCUCUUCCAUACUUCCAGCUGCCAAUAAUGAGUGACACUGAGCAGUAUCUGGCGGCUGAUUGGCUUGUUUCUUCUGCAAACUCAUCAUCUGAAGGCCCCUCACUGCUUCACUGUGUGCACAGCCAAGGCUAGCAAGUACACCAACAAUAGCUGGCAGGUGUAGCCUCGCUGAGAAAUAAGCCAAUUGUUUAUAGUGAGACAGCUUAGUGAGAAUGGCAGAUGCACACAAACUGCUCUAAGUCCCUAGAUAUGAUUAUUCUCAAUGUGUGCAGGUGUUGAGAGGGAUAACAUGUUUAAAGACAACAACUAUUGUGUAGCAGGGAUGGAAAGAGGAGUAAAAGUAAAGUAGGUCAGUUAAAUGCACUCUUAGUAAACGUUAAUGUGUUACAUUUUUAAAAAGGGGCAGGAGGUUUAUAAUGAUUAGCAUCUAUUAAAUAAUAAAUAAAUAAAGUGCAUUAACAUGUCAAAUGGAACAAAAUCAUGAACCGCAGAGCCCUCACGUCCAAACCAACAAUGCAUUCCUGUUCCUGUAAGACAGACAUGUGCAGCCUGUGCAUAAAACAGAUUAGCAAUUUAGUUUAAUGAUAAUAACGCUGCAUAUUUUAAUUACAAUGUACAGGGACAAGCUCAACUGUGGACAAGCUAAAAAUAAGCUAUAGUGAAAAAAGUCAGUACAUAAUGCUCUGUUAUGGAACUAUAAUCAAUUAAAAACAAUGCAAAUACAUUGAAAUGAUCAACAGAUGGAUAUACAGCAUCAAGAGUAAAUGUAACUCAUUACUACCAGUGCUGUGUAGAAGCAGCCUGGCACUUCAUCAACUGAACGAGAACAUACUGUACAAUGUUGUACUUUAGUGUGUGUGUGAUUGAGAGACACGCAGAGGGGGUACCAGUAUCUUAAUUAACCACAUGGUUUAAUGAUCAUGAGCACUCACUUCAGAUGCUGGUCCCAGCUCUAACAUGAUUAUCAUUUCUAAUCCAGUGGUUGGC